UUGCUCAUUUUGGCAGCAUGUAUAGUAAAAUUAGAAGAGAUCUAGAGAAUAUUAGCUAUGGCUUCUGUGCAAGGAUCCUAGAAAAAUUUGUGAAGAGUCCCCUAUUUAU